GUUGCCCCUUGAGGCGUUGCAGCGCAGCCGUCCGUGUUGCGGCUGUGUCAAAAGGCGGCAAAGAGCAAACGGCGGUCGUCUGCACUGAGUCGACGCGACGACGAUGAUGACUCGGCGUUUUGUUGACCGCCAACACA